UCGAAGAGAACCAGCCUUCCGUGACAUCGAGUAUAAAAGGAACCCGGAGUCGCGACCACAGUCAGUAGUCUCAUUCAGCUCCUCCGAGAUCUCUCGCGUCCAGAAGUCAUUCAGCUCUUGACCAUGUUUGCUAAGCUUAUUAUGUUGGUCAUGGUUAUGGCCACCAUCCUCCUAGCAAGUGCAGAGGCACAUCCCGGAUUCUUCGGCGGCUACGGAGGAGGCUACGGCGGAUAUGGGGGUGGUGGUGGUGGUGGUGGAGGCUACGGAGGUGGGGGCGGACGCCCCCCAUUCGUGCCCGUCUUAGGUUGAUCCAGGUCGCGAAUACGGAUAGUUGCAGUGGACUGAACAACUUGCUGUGUUUACACCAUUUACUUCAUUCUAAUUGGUCUACUUUUCAUCUUUAUUAAAAAGAAUUCUUUAUUAUUUUUCGGCUUCAACUGUCCCUCCACAAAUUAAAAUUGUGAAAAAGUAA